rnacentral:rRNA from 1 species
AUUGAACGCUGGCGGAAUGCUUUACACAUGCAAGUCGAACGGCAGCACGGACUUCGGUCUGGUGGCGAGUGGCGAACGGGUGAGUAAUGUAUCGGAACGUGCCCAGUCGUGGGGGAUAACGUAGUGAAAAUUACGCUAAUACCGCAUACGAUCUAUGGAUGAAAGCGGGGGAUCGCAAGACCUCGCGCGAUUGGAGCGGCCGAUAUCAGAUUAGGUAGUUGGUGGGGUAAAGGCCCACCAAGCCAACGAUCUGUAGCUGGUCUGAGAGGACGACCAGCCACACUGGAACUGAGACACGGUCCAGACUCCUACGGGAGGCAGCAGUGUGGAAUUUUGGACAAUGGGCGAAAGCCUGAUCCAGCCAGUCCGUGUGAAGGAUGAAGGCCCUCGGGUUGUAAACUGCUUUUGUACAGAACGAAAAGGUUUCUACUAAUACUAGGAGCUCAUGACGGUACUGUAAGAAUAAGCACCGGCUAACUACGUGCCAGCCGCCGCCGUAA